rnacentral:tRNA from 4 species
GCCCGGAUGGCGAAACUGGUAGACGCAAGGGACUUAAAAUCCCUCGGGGGUAACCCCGUGCCGGUUCGAUUCCGGCUCCGGGCACCA